GACGAACGCUGGCGGCGUGCUUAACACAUGCAAGUCGAACGGAAAGGCCCGGCUUUUGGGGGGGGCUCGAGUGGCGAAGGGGGGAGAAACACGGGAGUAACCUGCCCUUGACUUGGGGAUAACUUCGGGAAACUGGGGCUAAUACCGGAUAGGAGCUCCGGCGGCAGGGUGGGGGUUGGAAAGUUUCGGCGGUUGGGGAUGGACUCGCGGCUUAUCAGCUUGUUGGUGGGGUAGUGGCUUACCAAGGCUUUGACGGGUAGCCGGCCUGAGAGGGUGACCGGCCACAUUGGGACUGAGAUACGGCCCAGACUCCUACGGGAGGCAGCAGUGGGGAAUAUUGCACAAUGGGCGGAAGCCUGAUGCAGCAACGCCGCGUGCGGGAUGACGGCCUUCGGGUUGUAAACCGCUUUCGCCUGUGACGAAGCGUGAGUGACGGUAAUGGGUAAAGAAGCACCGGCUAACUACGUG
rnacentral:rRNA from 1 species